ensembl:lncRNA
GCCAUUUUGAAUUGUGGCGAGAAAUUCUGAGAGCUGUGAGAACCUUUCCCAUUUUGAAAUCUGGAGGACGUCACCGAAUGACUGCUGGAAGCCCUUUUCAGAGAGUGAGAAACGCGAUAUUAGUCUAACCUGACGUCGAUUCACACAGUCAGGACCGGCUAAUACAGCAUCCUACUUUUAUUCGAAUACAUUUAUCGAAUGCCAACUGAGACCUGGGUCGAUUCCUGGGUCAGGAAGAUCCUCUGGAGAAGGAAAUUGCAAUCCAAUAUAGUAUCCUUGCCUGGAAAAUCCCACAGACAGAGGAGCCUGGCGGGCUACAGUCCACGGGGUCCCAAGAGUCAGACACGACUUAGCGACUAAACCACCACCACCAAGGAAGGCCUUUCUUAGUAAUGCGUGAAAGAAGCAUCACUUCUUGCAGUUUCCUGCCUGAUGACCUGCUCUAUGGAUUUAUGACUG